UGUCAACAUAAGUUUUGGAGGGCACAAACACCCAAACUAUAGCAGCAGUUGUGGCAGGGUCUCCCUCUGUCAUUCAGGUUGGAGUGCAGUGGUGCCAUCAUGGCUCACCGCAGCCUCGACCUCCUGGGCUCAGGAGAACGUCAGCCUUCGUAAUAGCAAGGACUACAGGUAAAUGGCAGAAGGAGUUCACACUCAUGAACAAUGUGCAAGCAAAACCCGCCGCAUGGUGUCGGUCGCUUGGGUCAUCCUCAGCCCCAGCCCCAUGGACCAGAGCUGAGCCCUGAAGACGAAGUUGCAAAGAUCAGUGACACUCAGAGCUCCAGAAUGCCCCGAGGAGACACAGGCUGCCCUUGCAGGCACUCCAGGCUGAGGACCAGACCCCGGGAGAAGACUGCGCUUCAACAUUCAGUUCCCAGGCCUCCUGGCUUUUCUGGGGCCUGGGGUGAUGUUAUAUUGAGAACAAAGUUUGCGCCUUGACUCAGGACGCCUCUCCAGCAGGCAGCAGUCCUGACUGAAAUGGCCUGCUGUGACAACAAUGCCAUUGCAGGGAGAAGCACUAGGACCUGGGAACUUGCAUUUAAUAGGUAAUAAAAUGAUUAUGAGACAUGCAGUAAAAAUGUUAUCAGUGUGGAGGGGAAGCCUUGACAAAUAUGCUUCCUUUACACUGGCAGGAUCUUCUGUCCCGGCAUUUGGGAAACAAUCUUUAUGCUAAACUGCCACCCUCGUAGCCCUACUCACCUGGGACCGUCACCCAGCUAACCUGCAGUUCUCCAGGUUCACUAGGUGUCAUUGGAGAGCAGCAGCCUGCGCUUGACGGCGCGGAGUCCGCAGCCUCUGGCUGAAUCCCUAGGCCAGCUCCCUUCUUGUUCUGUCAGUCUCAACCCUGUCUCGUGUGUCAGCUCAAGCCUUGAAACAACACAGUUCAAAACUAACAGGGGACUGGCAAGGCAGUCUGUGAAAUGCAGGACUAAAAUGUCGCUACACACACCGUUUCCAGGCACUGCCUGCCACUGUGUUUCCCCUGAAAGACAUGGGGACCUCAGACUCAGAAGCCUGAAGGAGCCAGGCAGGGGGCCAGGCCACGGGAUGUCUGGAACCACUCAGUCCCACUGGGCACCAUGGGAGAAAGUGACCUGGCAUCUCCCAUCUCCACGGCCUUCAGUCUCUUCAACAGAAGUCACAAGGCCUUUUUUUUUUCUUUUUGAGGCAGAGCCUCGCUCUGUCACCCACAUGGGAGUGCAGUAGCACAAUCUCAGCUCACCUCCACCCUCCAGGCUCCAGUGACCCCCUCACCCUCAGCCUCCCAAGUAGCUGGGACCACAGGUGUGCACCACCAUGCUUGGCUAUUUUGUUGUAUUUUUCAUAGAGAUUGGGUCUCACCCUGUUUUCCUGACCAGUCUCCAACUCCUGGGCUCAAGAAAUCUGCCCACCUUGGCCUCCCAAUGUGUUGGGAUUGUAGGCAUGAGCCACCACGCCCAGCCAGAAAGCCACUGUUAAACACAAACUCUCCCAGGUUUUAAAAGUAGAGAAUUUUUUUAAAGCAGAGUAGGGGCCAAGCAAGAUAAAUAUACGUAUAAGCUGUAUUUUUUUUCUGUAAGCCAGCAGUUCGAGCAUCUGGAUGAAAAGAUGAUUGAGACAUCUUUAUGGAGCACUGUGUAUACUACAGAAUUUUCCGUAUUCUUUCCUUGGUGCCCAGGAAUGUCCACUGCUAAUUCUUCCAGUGAGUGGUAGCUCAUGUGGCCACCUUCUAAAUUGAAGUAACGGCCCUGGACCACCCAUAGGGUGUGGUCUCCAUCCGUGCCCUGAAUCAGCCCAUUCAGGUCAAACUGCAGACAAUUGGACUGAACUGCUGUUUUAUCCUGAAUCCUUCAGGACUAGGGAGCUCUAUGCUGGCCAUGAGAAGGAAGCCUCUGGUGAGAAAUGGCUCCAGGGAGAACAAUGAAGGGGCAAUAGGACUCAGCAACUUGCAGGUACCACUGACGUCCACCCUUCACCCAAGAAGCAACCUGGGUUGAGAGGGGCACUGGACAGGUCGAGGGACCUGACUUUGGGCCACUGGCUCUGGGAUCUGAGCCCCCAGCCAUCCCAGCUAAGGUGCAUUGUGAGCAGGAAAAUGUGGUCCCAACAAGCCCUGCCUGAAUUGCAGAUACAUACACAGUAUACAUGAUUCUUGGUGUUUUAAGCCACCCCAUUUUGAGGGUGGUUGGUUACACAGCAGGAGAUGGCCACCAUCCCUAUGGAUACCAUGGUAACUAGGGACAGUCACGCAUGCAGGUGCCUGUGGCAUCCAGGAGACCUUGGUGCCCAGCAUGCUGAGCUCCUGGGAGCCAGGAUAGCAGGACUUCUCUCCCCAUCUCCCUUUUCUUAGAGGCUCACCCCCGUCCACCUAGUGGCCUAUGUGGCUGUGACUCUGGCCUUUGGCUCCUCUCCUGGGUCCACUCACCUCCUGCUUUCUUCUCUAACUGCAUGGUAUUCUCCACGUCCACAACGCAGAAUCCUCCAAAACGGAGCGUCUGAUUGGCUCAAUGCAUCGUUUUGUGCAAGCAUCUAUCACUGGCUGGCGUAUACAUUGCUGGUUUUCAAAUCAGAUGACAGCUGGGUACAGUGAUUCAUGCUUGUAAUCCCAGUUACUUGGGUGACUGAACUGGGAGGAACUCCAACUGAGCCCGGGAGUUGGAGGCUACAGUGAGCUAUGAUUGCACCCCUGCACUCCAGCCUGGGCAACGAAGACAGACUGAAAUCAGAGGCCGGCCCUGGUCCAAUCCACUGCGGCAGGUGCAGUGCACAAUGGCAGAGGGGCGCCACUUCAGAAGGCACCACAGAAGGAGUGUUCCUGCAGGGAGUGCUUUGUGAUUGAUUGACAUGACCAACAUGUCUGAAACAAAAAUAGGAAAAGUAUGCAGGGUGGAAGGAUUCUGUACAGUGGACACGAUCUUCAAAUGGGGGUUGCACACAUUUCCUAAUAGCUCUGCGAUUUGCGAUCCAGACCUGGAUGCGUUUUGGAGAAUGAACUGGCAGCUGUACUCUUUUCUAAAAUUGGUCAGGCGGUAGUAUGUUGAUUUUUCUUUCUUUACUUUUAAAAUUGGCCUUUUCCCACUUUACAAAAGCAAGGCAUAUCUUUAUCCUUCCUGAAUAUUCUUAAGGGAAUUGCUUCAGGGUAGAAAAGCCUUCAGAGUGCCCAACAAGGACGUAAUCCAAACAUUGGUGCCCCAGUGUUGGUCUUUCCUUCUAGGGAGCAUAAAACUUCCUGUCCAUCACAGAUACAUUUCCCCCCAAAAUUACCUUUUCUUUUCAAUAAUGUUUGACAUCAACUUGAAAUGACAACUUAAUUCAGGACACACUUUAAUAGCUUGAAAGCUUAUGGUACUAAGGAUUGUUUUUAAGUUAAUUUGCAUGUAUUUAUGUAUAUCUGCUGCAGCAGAACAGGAUGACCAUUUCAUUUUGGAAAGCUGCUGUAGGGUGGGUCUCUGGGAAGAGAACUGUAGACUGGAGUUUCAUGCGUAGAAUGUCUGUGGGGGGGGUGCCUUUGAGAGGAACCCCUGAGAAAGAAAGGGGAAGGAAGCAGGAGUUGGGGAGAGGGAGACGUUUGCUGCAAUGCAGGUCCCCUGCAGACUUGACAGCUCCAUGGGAGCUCUGCCACUGAAAAGGUCAUCAGUAUUGCCCUGCCCCUGCCUCAAGCCUUGUACUCCCACCACAGCCAGUCAUUGAGCGGGGCUGCCUGGGGAAGGGCAUGAGCCAGGGCCAGGCAGCUCUGCACCUGAGGCCACCCUAACCCAGCAGCAAGCUGGCAAUGCUUCUAGCAGUACAGGGAGUGGGGACAAGUCUUUUCUUGAUGAGGGGUCUGGGUGGAGCAUUGUCUGGUGACCACCACAAAUUUCAGUGUCUAUCAUAUGCCAGAAAUGACAUCCUUCACAAUGACAAAUUUAUUAUGAAAAUCUCCCGGUGUAAACUUUAAAACGCAAAGGUUCACAAUGAGUAAAAGCAAUUUUUGAAGGGUGGGAGCACAUGUCUCAAGACCAUGGUAGUGGGACUCUCCUGGCCUGGGUCACUAUUGGGAGGUUUCCUUAGAAGCUUUUUUUUUUUUUUUUUUUGAGAUGGAGUCUUGCUCUGUCACCCAGGCUGGAGUGCAUUGGAGCAAUCUUGGCUCACUGUAACCUCUGCCUCCCAAGUAGCAUCUGCCACCAUACCUGGCUAAUUUUUGCAUUUUUAGUAGAGAUGGGGUUUCAUCAUGUUGGCCAGGCUGGUCUUGAACUGCUGACCUCGUGAUCUGUCCUCCACUGACAUGAUCGCGAGCCAUGGCCCACAGCACUCCUUGCAGGGUCCCAACCAGACUGAGGCACUCCCUGGCAACUGGCUUAUUAAUGCCUCUUUCACUGCUUUUCUCUCUUCUUUUUUCCCUCUCUCUCCUCAUUUCUGUUAUCUGGGACCACCUCCCAGAUAAACCACCUGCACCCAAGUUUGUCUCAAGCCCCUUCUCGAGGGAACUCAACCUAAGGUAUCAGCUGCAUCUGCCCAUUUGAAGGGUUUUCCCAGGAAUCCCUCCUAGCAAAUUCCAGCUAAUCUCAGAGCCAGAAUCAGGUCAAGUGGUCAAUCCUAACUGUAAGGGGAGCUGGGAAAUACAGGCUUUUUAGGUGGGCACUUUGGCAUCCCCAACUAAAUCGAGGUUUUGUCCACACAGAAGAAAAGGAUGCGUAUUUGAUGGGCAACUGGCCAGUCUUGAAAAUCAACAUAUGUCAUUAUUGAUCAUUUGGCAUUUUAUAAGCAUUAAAUUAGUGAAAAGAAAAAUUGGGGAAAUUAAAAACAAAAAUAUCAACAGUGAGAAAUAGUACAACAAAUAUAAAAAUGGAGAUUUUAGAACCCAACCUUUGGUUGGUAGAGAUCCACUUAUACUGGAAGUAUUUUAUAGACUGAGAAAUAAUGUCUAUUCGCAGUCAACCUACUCUCCACCAAUGGCCCCUUUGAUUUACUGUUGUGAUUAUUUCAGCACUCGGAGUUUGCUUUCAUAAAAUGUGCUGAAAUAAAUGUUUCUCUGUUUCUUCCCCAUCUACUGAUUACCCCUUCUCUAUAGAAAAUGUGUGAUGGGUUAUAACAAAAUAAAGUCAACAAAAAAAAAUAGCAAAAUGAACCCCAGAUCCUGAAGAACGAGAAGACAAACAGAUCCGGGUUGCGGGGUGCAGCACACUCAUUACAGCUGUGGUUCAAACUUGGAUCUGCGCUUCCUGGAGCCCAAGGAUAGGAAAGAGACCACGCUUUACGUUAUCUGUGUUAUCAGGAAGAAGAUGGUGCACUAAUUUCCCUAGAGCAUGGUGGCUUCUCUGGGACACACUGGAAGAAGAAAAAUUGUCUUGGGCCACACAUAAAAUAUACCAACACUGGCCGGGCAUGGUGGCUCACGCCUGUAAUCCCAGCACUUUGGGAGGCCGAGGCAGGCGGAUCACGAGGUCAAGACAUCAAGACCAUCCUGGCCAACAUGAUGAAACCCUGUCUCUACUAAAAAUACAAAAAUUAGCCGGGCGUGGUGGCGUGCACCUGUGAUCCCAGCUACUAGGGAGGCUGAGGCAGAAGAAUCGCUUGAACCCAGGAGGCAGAGGUUGCAGUGAGCUGAGAUUGCGCUACUGCGCUCCAGCCUGGCAACAAGAACAAGACUCCGUCUCAAGAAAUAUAUAUAUAUAUACCAACACUAAUGAUAGCUGAUGAGAAAAAAAAAUUGCAUAAUGUUUUAAGAAAGUUUACGAAUUUGUGUUGGGUUGCAUUGGAAGCUAACCGGGGCUGCAUGCAACCAGCAGGCCGUGGGUUGGACAGACUUGCCCCAGAGGAAGCAAAUCUUUCCCAGCACCAAAUUCUGAAAGAAAACUCUCAUGGCUUAUCUAUGGCAGUAAGGAGCAGUGAGCAGUGCAUGGAAACGGUUCUCAACAAGAUCAUUACAGCAGAGCUCCAUAGUAGCUUUCAUGGGCCUGGGUCCUGCAGUAUAAGAGAGUCCAUGAAAGUUCUGGGUGCAGUACUGCUACUGAAGUAAGCGACAGUGAUUCUGCAAAGGGCAGAAACGUGAUCUUUAGUGAUUCAGCAGGUCUCAAAGCUAGAUGUCAGAGUCUCGGGAUGAGUGGAAACAAUGCCCGGCCACACAUAAGCUGGAGGGGAGAUGAGCUCAGGCUGGUGCUCUGACCAGGCUCAGGAGCUCCAGCAAUCCGUUUGCCGGAUUGCUGUUGAGGCGGCCAUUCAUUACUUGGCUAACUCAAUAGCUACUCCCAACCCCAUUUCCUUUGCCUCUCUUUUAAAAAUGAAAGCCUGAUGGUGCAUUUCCUAGGCUUCCUUGCAGCGAGGAGUGGCCAGAUGACAUAGAUGUAGUCAAAAAGACUAAGGGGAAAUAGGUUUGGGAGCUCCUAGGAAAUCUUUGUCUCUAGUGACAAAGUGAAUGAUGUGAGGAGAAAGGUGUUGCUAUGGCCUCUUCUUCCUUCCCGUGUUGAACCUGAAUGUGAUGGCUGCUGCAAUGGUAGCUAUCGUGUGGUAAGAAAUAGAAAUGCAACUGAAAAGCCAACUAGCCGAGAGGGUCAAGACAGAAAACAGUGAGUGUGGGUCCUUGCUGCUGUGGAGCUGGCAGUGCACUCUAGAGGCAGCCCUCCUGCAGAUUCUUAGGCAGAGUCUUAUCAAGUAAGCAGUGACAUAACUGUAUCGCCAUGCUUCUGGAAGUGAGACUUUGUACUUCUUGCUGUUGAAAAUGGUUUGCCUUCUACCAGUGUAAGGAGAGAAUUUGUGAACUUUAAACAAGUGGAGAAGUGGUGGGUGAGAUUAACACUCUGUGGUGAAAACGAGGAGUCCAGUCAGGAAAACGAGUUCAGAGGUGAGCAGGAGCGGGGCCCGCGUGGAGUCAGAAUUUUCAGUAAACCACCACAUGCGAGUAACUGCUUAAUUGAGUUCUCAGAGAAGAAUGCCAUGAACCCUGGCUAAGGUGGUUUUGAUGAGUAAAACUUUUUAAACAGAAAUAAUUAAUUACCCAUAGAGCUUCAGUAUCCCUAUCUUGGAUCAACUGAUUUGAAAAAAACAUGGCUUGUCAGUGAACCUGCUGGGGUAAUUGAGCUGGAGAAUGUGUUCCCGGAUCAUUAAAUUAAUGUAUCUGCAGCUUGAGGUUAGUCAACAUGAGUGGAACAAAUUCUGGGAACUGUUAAAAAUAAUGAUAAUAGUUUUCAAAAUGUUCAUACAAUUCUAAAGUCAAUGUUUCUGAAAGUAGAAAUUGUUCCUUGUUCUUAACAAUAAAAGCAUUUGUCUCAUUGAUAAAGUAACAUACAUUUGAUUUUUCAAUGCUGUUUUAAAUAAUUAAGAGAUAAUUUGAAGGAAAAGGAGGAUUCAGAACUGUCAACCUGUAUUUUAAAAAGUUGUCCUUCGAGGUAUGAAUACCCUGUGAGUGUUUUCAUACCAAUCUGGAUUUUUAUGAUGGUUUUGUAUAACCAGAAGUUCAUGUUUUCCUCAUGUAACUUGGCCACAAAAUUGUUAUUAUCACUGAAAACGAUGUGGAAAGCAGGCUAUCUUUGCCUCCCACUUCUAUAUGACCUUGCAGACAAGGUUAGCACACCAUAGAAUGUCUUUCAACACAAAGGCCAACCAUAUUGGUGUCUGCAUGUACAGGAGUGCUGCUGGACUUGUGACAUUUUUUUAAAUGACAUAAUAUAGGUCAUUUGUGAAAACUGCAGUAACAAUGAAGUGAGAGGCAAAGGUAUGGUAACAUUCCCCUUGUAAAACGAAGCCAUAAAUAUGCAGCCUGAGUAGAUAAAGUGCUUUCUCCAAAUGUUUCCAAUUAUAAGAUGAAAAUGAAAUUGUUUUUACUAUUCUUGGGUCAUUUUCGUUUCAAGUACAUUGUCUUUCACAAAUGUGGGAGACAGAGAUGCAAAUAACUGUUUUCUUUACAAUUAUCCGCUAUAAAAUUCUGAGUUUC